UAUAUCUGUGAUAUGUACCAAUGGCACCAACCAUCCGCAAAACGUUUUCUUUCAAAACAAAACAUGGACGUUCGCAUAAAAUGUGAACUGGCGAUAUGUGAUUCCAAGUCAAAUAAAACAAAUGUUUGGAGUGUAACUAAUUUUAAAGAACAAAUUGAAAUAUCACUCACACGAAUCUACAAAAGGAUUUUGCCACGAAUUAUGGAUGAAAUACAACGAUAAUUAUUGGAAAAUGCAGUGUUACAGGUUAAAAUUAUUAUAAAGCAGAAAAUCAAGAAAAAAUGCCUGUAUUUAAAUGUCUGCCUUUAGUAUUUGAAGACUGCUUUUUAUACUGGAUACAACAAGAAAGAUGGCUUUAUAUGUUGCAUCGCCUAACGUCAGAUACAAGAUACACUAGUAGUUACAAAAAUGAAGAUUGCUCCUAAAAGUCCCUAACAUGACUGUGAUGAAAGAAUAUGGAAGAUGAAAAAUGGGUACCUUCCAGGCAGCAGCAUCUUUAAGAACGUUACCCUGAACUAAGACUGAAAGCUGAAGAAAUGUAUUUAAAGCCUUAGUUAUUAAAUAGUGA